AAGAAAGGAGGCAACUUCAGGUACCAGAAGACUGCUGCUUAUGGUCAUUUUGGUCGUGAUGAACCAGAUUUCACUUGGGAGACUGUCAAGCUCCUCAAACCCAAGGCCUGAGUCUUCUGGGUUUGGCUUUAUAUAUUUUAGAGAUGAUACUAUCCUAGCCAACAUUCUGCUUGGUGGGGGAGAAUAAAGAAAGCUUCAGCACAUGCAUCUGACUGAUAUUGCAGUGAACAUUUCAAGGCCCAAGCGAGGUGUUGUUCAGGAUGUAUGCUUCAAGUUGAGCUUGUAGUUUGGUUAGGAUAGUAUCAUCUCUAAAAUAUAUAA
rnacentral:misc_RNA from 1 species